GUGGGAUUAUUUGGUGCGAGCAGAAUGACUCCACUUACCACUCCUACCCGAAAGCAAAACCCAAUGCCACCUGUUUCACUCUUCACUUUACUCUUUCUCUCUCCUUCCCCACGAACACCGUCGUUUUCUUCCGCCUAAACAAGUACAAACACAAACACAAACACAAACAGACUUCCCACUUGCACGAUUCUGCGGCUAUUCUCCCUUUUCCACACUAUCAAACUCACUCUUUCUUUCUAAGUAAACCCUAAUCUCCCAACAUUCUAUUCGUGUUUGAAUUAAUAGAUAAAUUAAUUAUUAUAGAGUAUUUUUAUUGUUAUGGUGAUGACCAAUAAUGAAGGAGGAGACGAUCAUAACGAGAUGAUGGUGAGUGGGGCCAAGUCUCCAUGGAAGACGACUCAGGUUAUGAUGGAUGCUCCUGUCAUCAGCGCCGACUCUUGGCCUGCUCUAGCCGACGCUCAACACCGCUCCCCUAAACCACCAGCUGAUCCGCCACUUGUCCAGAAGACUCUUAGUUCAGGAAAUCCUAAUCAUAAUCCAUCACAUAAACAUUCGCACUUGCGUAAUCAGAAGUCAGGGUCUAGACGUCACACGAAUGCUGCACCAGCGUUUCCUGUAACUUUUUCUAACCAUCAGCCAGCUCCUAUGUUUCAUUCAAUGGUGCCUCCUCCGCACAUUGGCUAUGCGGCUUACCAGCCAUACCCUGGACACUUUUUUGUUGAGAAUCAGACUGGUUUUGUUCCCGCACCAGUUCAUGCUGUUGAUGCUGCUCGGAAUGUUCAGCCACCUCCACCUCAUCCUCGGGGUGGAGGAGAUCCCAGUGCUUCUGCGGCUAACGUGAAUGUGAAUUUCUCUAGUAGAAGACUUCCUAAUAUGCAAGCACCUGCUUGGCCUCAUCAUAGACCAUAUAAUCCCCGUGACAGUAUUCCUCUUGGACCCCGGCCUUUAGUAAGGACUGCAUUUAUUGGUCAUACUCCCAGUCCUGGAUAUAUGGUUGGUCCAAGCUUUACCGGACCUGCAGUUUGCUAUGUGUCUGUACCACCUCCAGGCUCUGUUAGGGGACCUCAUCCUCCCCUCUUUGUUCAAUACCCUGUACUGCCAGGUGCUGCCAUGCUACCUCCAGAGAUGCUGGCAUUGAAGGCUAGCAUUGUAAAACAAAUAGAUUAUUAUUUCAGCGAUGAAAAUCUUCAGAAUGACCAUUACUUAAUUUCUUUGAUGGAUGCCCAAGGAUGGGUUCCCAUAUCCUCCAUUGCUGAAUUUAAAAGGGUAAAGAGAAUGAGUACAGAUAUACUGUUUAUACUUGAUGCAAUGCACAGUUCUAGUACUGUAGAAGUGCAGGGUAAUAUGAUUCGAAGACGUGAUGAAUGGUCCAAGUGGAUUCCAGCCUCUUCUGAACCUAAGCUUACCCACCCAAGCCAACAGUUAGACAGCUCAAUUGAUCCAAUUGAGAAGGGUGAUACCAAUGAAGAUGAUACAAGGAAAACUUGUGAAGAAAAUACUGAAAUACGGCCUGACAGGGAUGGUUCAGAUAUAACACAUACUGGUCUCACUGAGCAGAGUGGCAGGUUUGUUAUUGAUGGUGGAAAACAAGCAUUCUGUGCUGAAAAUGGUGUGUUGACAACAUCAAUUUUUUAUUCAGACAAGUUGUCAGGCAUUGAGAACAGUGACCAUAGCUCCUGUCGAAACCAGUUACAAAGAAAUGAGCAUGCGGGAUCUGAUGACCACAAGGCUGAAAGCUUGGAGUCCACUUCAAAUAUGGCUGUACAGCAUCUUAGUGACCUGUCAAAUGAUUUUGCAAACACAUUUAUGCUUGAUGAGGAGCUAGAGGUUGUGCAGAAAACAACAAAAAAGGAUGAGCUUAACACGGGCAGAAGGAUUGAUGAUGAAGAUGAUGAGAUUCUUGUCAAUGACCAUGAUGUUCAGAGACUUGUAAUUGUCACACAGAAUAGUUGGCCAGUUGAAGGAUCUAAAACUGAUGGAGAAGGAUUGAAAGGAUUUAAAUAUAUUUCUAAUGAGCUUGCUUCUGCAAUAAACGAUGGUCUUUAUUUCUAUGAGCAGGAGCUUAAAACUAAAAGAUUAUAUCAUAGGAAGAAUAACUCUUAUGAGAACAAAGGUGGAAACCCCAGGUCUUCAGUUUGUGCACCAGGGGUACCAAAUUCAGUGGCAGAUGACAAUUCUGCUGCAAGCAUUGGUCAUGAAGAGUCUGGAAUUGCCAGUUCCCGCUGUAAGCAGAAUAAAGGUUUCCACAGGCAGCAAUCUUCCCACAAGCAGCGAUUUUUCUCCAGCAAUUUUAGAAAUCAUGUAACUGGUCAGAAUUCUCUUGCCAUUGUAUCAGAAAGUCCACCAAGUAAUUCAGUUGGAUAUUUCUUUGGUUCAACCCCUCCGGAAAAUCAUGGCUCAAGGCCUUCAAAAUUGAGUGUUUCACCCCAUGGGUUUCUCUCUGGUGGUAGUCCCCCUGUGGGUUCCACGCCAAAAUCAUUUCCUCCAUUCCAGCAUCCAAGUCAUCAAAUGUUAGAAGAAAAUGGCUUCAAACAGCAGAAGUACUUGAAGUUUCGUAAGCGAUGCUUAAAUGAGAGGAAGAAGUUGGGAGUUGGCUGCAGUGAGGAAAUGAAUACCCUGUACAGAUUUUGGUCAUAUUUCAUGAGAGACAAGUUCAUCCCUUCAAUGUAUAAUGAUUUUCAGAAGUUUGCACUUGAAGAUGCAGCUGCUAAUUAUAAUUAUGGGAUAGAGUGCCUUUUCAGGUUUUAUAGUUAUGGUUUGGAAAAAGAGUUCAGAGGGGACCUUUAUAACGACUUUGAACGGCUAACUCUCGAUUUCUACCAUAGAGGCAAUCUUUAUGGCCUUGAAAAAUACUGCACGGGUGGUGACAUCGGCAUUCUAAUGUUCGCUCGGCUCUAGCAGAAGCUAGUGCACAACUAACUCGUGUAGGCGUCGGGGUUGUGGAACAUGAUGGUAUGUUAAGAUCUCAAGUGCAAGGUAUAAGACUUACAUCCCAUAUUGGAAGGUAUGAGCCUCUAAUAUGAGGUUUAUAUGGUUUUGGGUUUUCUAAUCUUAAUAGCUAGUUUUUGAGGUGUAAUUCUUCCAAGAUUUAUAUCAUUUAGCACACAGUUAGCCUAUGUAGGUGUGAAAGUUGCGGAGCGUGAUGAUAUAUUAAAAUCUCAAGUGUGAAGUAUGAGAAUUGGAUUCCACAUUGGAAAGUAUAGACUUCUAAUAUGAGGUUUAUAUGACUUUGAAUCUUAAUAACUAACUUUUGAGGCGUGGUUUUUCCAAAGUUCAUAUCGUCGCGUUUUCCAGUUGCAAUUGUGCAACCCAAUGGGUGUUGCCGGCAUUAUAGUGUUUGUCUUGAGCUAGCAGCUAGCUAACGCAUACCCAACCCACAUAGAUGCGAGGGCUACAGAGCAUAGUGAUAUGUUAGGAUCCCAAGUACAAGGGCAUUCCAUCACUAUCGAGGGCUACAUGGGCAGAAGGAGCCCCUUAAGAAACAUCCAGAGUUGGAAAGGUUGCUUAGGGAAGAAUAUCGAAGCAUAGAGGACUUCCCCACGAAAGAAAGAAGUAAUGGUACAAAAGAAGACAUCCAUUAGCCUUGAGUAAUUACUUUGCUUUCUGGUGACAUUGAAAUAACAUCCCAAUUUUGAAAGUGAAUCCUGACAAUUAAUCGAAGGGCAUUCGAGAUA